UACAGAGGUGGCAAGCGUUGUUCGGAAUUACUGGGCGUAAAGGGCGCGUAGGCGGCCUUCUAAGUCGGACGUGAAAGCCCCAGGCUUAACCUGGGAACUGCGUCCGAUACUGGGAGGCUUGGAUUCGGGAGAGGGAUGUGGAAUUCCAGGUGUAGCGGUGAAAUGCGUAGAUAUCUGGAGGAACACCGGUGGCGAAGGCGGCAUCCUGGACCGAGAUCGACGCUGAGGCGCGAAAGCUAGGGGAGCAAACAGG
rnacentral:rRNA from 1 species